UGGUUUGGAUGUGGGGGUUUUGCUGGCCUCUUAAAAAGGUUCAGCUCCCCUGAAAUGCAUUAGCAGAACAACCUGUUCAUUCAUUGGUGUGAUAACUAUCUACGCUAUUGAAUGUGGGGCAGUUCAGCUUCUUAACAGUCCUUGGACAAUUUAUCAUUUUAUGUGACCUCAAAUCAGGUAGGACUACCCGCUGAACUUAA
rnacentral:misc_RNA from 1 species